UACGAAGGGGGCUAGCGUUACUCGGAUUGACUGGGCGUAAAGGGCGCGUAGGCGGCUUUGUAAGUCGGGGGUGAAAGCCUGUGGCUCAACCACAGAAUUGCCUUCGAUACUGUAGAGCUUGAGACCGGAAGAGGUUAGUGGAACUGCGAGUGUAGAGGUGAAAUUCGUAGAUAUUCGCAAGAACACCAGUGGCGAAGGCGGCUGACUGGUCCGGUUCUGACGCUGAGGCGCGAAAGCGUGGGGAGCAAACAGG
rnacentral:rRNA from 1 species